rnacentral:tRNA from 1 species
GGGAAUGUGGCUUAGUGGUAGAGCGCUUGCCUAGCAUGCAGGAAGCCCUGGGUUCCAUUCCUAGUACCA